rnacentral:rRNA from 1 species
AGUGAACGCUGGCGGUAGGCCUAACACAUGCAAGUCGAACGGCAGCACAGUAAGAGCUUGCUCUUACGGGUGGCGAGUGGCGGACGGGUGAGGAAUACAUCGGAAUCUACUUUUUUGUGGGGGAUAACGUAGGGAAACUUACGCUAAUACCGCAUACGACCUACGGGUGAAAGCAGGGGAUCUUCGGACCUUGCGCGAUUGAAUGAGCCGAUGUCGGAUUAACUAGUUGGCGGGGUAAAGGCCCACCAAGGCGACGAUCCGUAGCUGGUCUGAGAGGAUGAUCAGCCACACUGGAACUGAGACACGGUCCAGACUCCUACGGGAGGCAGCAGUGGGGAAUAUUGGACAAUGGGCGCAAGCCUGAUCCAGCCAUACCGCGUGGGUGAAGAAGGCCUUCGGGUUGUAAAGCCCUUUUGUUGGGAAAGAAAAGCAGCAGGUUAAUACCCCGCUGUUCUGACGGUACCCAAAGAAUAAGCACCGGCUAACUUCGUG